rnacentral:lncRNA from 1 species
UCAUCUCCUGAACAUAUUUGUAUUCUUGUCCUUGAUGAAGUGAGAUAAUCAUGUUCUCCGUACUGAUGUUUUCCUGCAAGAGAAAUCCCAGUUAGCGAUUACUUGUUCAUAGAAGAGGAACAAUCAUAAUUCCUUCUCUAAGAUUCAAAGCAUUCUUGACAUCUGCACACAAUUCAGAUGGGAACUCGAUUUUUCAUUUACCUAUGCAUGGCUACCAUCAUCUUAGUCUGUCUUUUGCUUUUCUGUAAAUUAUGACACCAAAGUCUUCAUCUUCUAUAUUUAUUUAAAUCUCAGUGUCAUCAACAAAUAGAAGCAUCCCCAUCAAACUAUGAACCUGCUGCAUCGCAACAACACGAAAUAAUUGUAAUAAAAAAUCACAGG